ensembl:lncRNA
AUAUGUUUAUUAUGGGAAAUGCAGAUGGUAUGUAUAUUGGGCUUGAUACAUAAAUCAGAUAUAUUGUAUGUAUAGCAUAGUUAUAUAUGCAAAUAUUUAUCAUUAAAAAAAAAUUAGAUCGCUAAUGUAGUUUCUUUGACUACUUACAAUUGUUUUAAUUAUCAUGUUUAAAAUCUUAUUAAUAUUAAUUAUAGUACUUGUGAAAAUAAAAUAAUAUUACAAUUACAAAAUAUAAUAAUUUUACAAAAAUUAUGAAGUGAUUGCCUCCCUUCAUAUUGUUUUCAGAGUUAUUUAAUUCUUAACAUAUGUUGUAAUAUGUAAUAUAAUAAUGCUGCUAAUAUUUUCCCAGUUUUGACACCAUGUGACUUGUGUUCUGUCUCUCGAUUGGUUCUUCUGUUAAACUCAGACAGGCCAGUGGUGCUGUCAGUGGUGCGGCCCAAAGUGAGCGUCUACCCAGCGACGGGAGCGGAUUUAAAGGGCCGGCGCUCCCUGCUGUGUGUAGCCAGAGACAUGGUCCCUGAGGAGGUCCGGGUGUCCUGGAGGAGGAGAGGGGGGGGCAGAGGGGGGGGGAAGGACGGGGAGCAGCUGGAGCUCAGAGCCCCGACAUACGCUGCCAGCAUCCUGGUUAUUGAUCAGGGAGAAACCCUCACAGAUCAAUACAACUGUACGGUUGAGCAUGAGAGCGGUCGGCAGGAGGUGGAGGUCCCAGCAGAAAUUACCUUGACGUCAGAAGGCCCCGGAAUGAUAGAAAUGACCUUGACGACAGAAGGCCCCGGAAAGACAGAGGUUACCUUAGCGACGGCAGUAACUACGGACCCCCGGCGUCCAGGGAGACCCAGAGAAGGUCCUUCAGAUGAAACACACCAGUCCCUCCAGGUGCUGUCCAGAGCCAGGCUGGCGUCUGUGCUCUACACAGUGAUGGUGGUGAAGAGUGUGCUCUGCUGCUGUGGCCUGGCUCUCCUGCUCCUCCACACCAACAAGACCAGCAGGACGCCCAGAACCAGCACCACCACAGCCCUGGACUGACGCUGCUGUCCCCCAGAACCAGCACCACCACAGCCCUGGACUGACGCUGCUGUCCCCCAGAACCAGCACCACCACAGCCCUGGACUGACGCUGCUGUCCCCCAGAACCAGCAACCACCACAGCCCUGGACUGACGCUCCUGUCCCCCAGAACCAGCAGACCCACCACGUACAACCAUAAGAGGUCAUCAUGUCGUCAUGUCAUCAUGUCAUCAUGUCAUCAUGUUAUUCAUUUCUACUCUCCACGUUCUUCUGCUCUAUUCCCUCCAAUGUUCAGACCAGAAAACUGAAUGAGUGUUUCACAGUUUUCUGUUUCCUGUUUCUUAGUGUGUACUGUCGCCCAUGUAUCAUCUAACACACUCCCUUCAUUUAAACAGGCCCUCAAAACCCACCUUUUCAAGAUCGCUUUCAACACAUAACCUCCUUCCCUUCUCUACCCUCCCUCCUUUUAACUAUUCCUCUCUUUUAUACCUAUUUCAGUUUUUUAGAUAUCUAUUUUUACCCAAUUUUAUCUUCUGACUAAUAUAUGUUAUUAUUAAAUGUUUUUAUUCUGUGUUCACUCUGUUAAGCGACUUUGAGUAUUUAGAAAAGCGCAAUGUGAGCUGAAUGUAUUAUUAUUAUUAUUAUUAUUAUCAUGUAAGAACAUUCUCUUAAAAUAAUAAAACUCUCAAAUGUAACAUUAGCUGGUUGUCUAUUAAUGGAGUUGUAUUCAUAAGGUGAAUUAUGUUAUUAUAUAGAAGCGUAUUUUCUUAAUCUUUGAGUCAGUCUGGAUGGCUCAUGGCCCUCUGUUGGAACAUGUGUGGUUGAACAGGUUGAAGGAACAUUAUACGUAGAACUGUAGGAUAGUUUAACUAUAAGAAUAAAUGAACAUGACAACGAUUCUGAAUAAAACCUUUAGAUGAACAUCAACUAUGCUUCAAGCCACAAUGGAAAUUGAUUUUAACUUUGCUCGAGUGUAAGGUUAACUUUGAACUAGAAUUUAACCGGCUAGUUUCUAGACAUUUAUAAGUCUAGUGUACGCUCAGGGUGUUAAAAUUCAAGGUGCGAUAAAAUUGGAUUACCCCCAAAAUUGGACGUCUUCAUUGGCGAGCAACACACAUUUCAUUCCUUAUUAAACCCCCUCAAUGCUUGAAAAGCUGAAAUCUGCAGACAGACAUAAUGAAAAAGCUUUGCACCCUAUCAAAUGAUUGAUUGUCUUAGUAGUUCUGAAAGAUUAAGGUAGGUUUACUGUGGUUCUAAAUAUUUGUAUAGUUCUGACGGAGCACCAUUUUAUGAUUCUGAAUGAGUUUAUUGUGAAGUCGUUUAUUGUAAUUUUGGAUUAUUUAAUUUGAGUUCUGAAGGAGCACCUUAUUGACUUUAUUGUGGUUGUGAAGGAAUUCUUUGUAGUUCGGGUGUAGUUUAUUCUAAUUUAGGUAAUUUAAGGUCAUUAAGAGAGCAUCAAAACAUGAUAAAGUUAGUGUUUCUUUAUUAUUAAUACCAGGGGAUGCAGGAAAUGGCUGCCCAUGAUAUUUAUACUACCAACCUGUCGCAGUUUCAACGGUUGUUUGUCUUUGUGUAGUUUUGGUUUCUUUCUCCGGAUGUCCUCAGCUAUUCUUUUCCUUCCCAGUCAUCGUUUUCUUCCACCUGUGUUGAUUUGUUAAUAGUGUCCUCAUGUGUAUUUAAGCCCUCUGUUUCUUAUGCAUUUGUCUCAAGGUCCUGUCCUGUAGCUAAACCAGUCUAAUAAGUGUCCUAGUGAAUUAUUAUACUUUUGUUUGAUUUCAAUCAUUAUUUUUGAUAAAUCUGCAGUUUCUGCAGAGAUUAACAUGAUUUUGGUUUAUCCUUCUCAACCUGAGUUUGAGUCUCCUUUUGAGUUUAAAACCUGAUCUUUAAGUUACACUGCCAACAAAUAUCACGUACCAUAUUUAUUUAUGUAGGCUACUAAACACAAGAAAAUGGACAAAAAGAUGUGUAAAGCAGUGCAGUGGGGCGCCCCGGUGGCUCACCGGGUAGAGCGCGUAGCAUAUAAGACUCAGCCCUUACCGCAGUGACGCGGGUUUGAUUCCUGCAGUGGUCCUAUGCUGCAUGUCCCCCGCUCUCUCUCCCUUACCUUCCUGUCUAUCUCACUAUAUCAUAAAGCAUACAAAUAAAUCGUACAAAAAACUCAAUAAAUGCGCAGUUAAUUUUUUUUCAUUAUCUUGGUACAUAAGUAGAUGGAUGGAAAUCUUAAGCAUCGCUUUGCUGUUGUUGUUAGUCUAUUAUUUACGUUUAAUUUGGAAUUGUAUGUAAUUGAAUACACUUAUUUGAAAAGUAAAGUGUUAGUGGAUACAGAUUCCAAUUCAGAAUACAUUUCAUGGUGUGCAUCUGAUUGUUAUGUAUGAAUUUGUCUUCAUAUUUAUAGAUUUAUUCAAUAACAUUUCCAAUAAAAAAUUAUUCAUACAUGUAUAUUCAAUUUCAAAUUUCAGGUGAAUUUUAAUAUGAAAACUAAAAACCAAUAUUUAGCUGAUUCCUAUGAAACAAAUUUAAUGAUUUCUAUCCUUUCUAUUCUUCUAUCCUUUCGAUUUCUAUUUAUUUCUCUAAAUAUUGUAAAUAUUUUGGGCAUAAUGUAUAUAUUUUGGAAUUUGAUUUUUGGAUUUAUAGCCCCUUUCCUGUUGCUAAUAUGUGU